rnacentral:SRP_RNA from 1 species
GCCGGGGAGUCAGCGGUGCCCUGUACCUGCAAUCCGCUACAGCAGGGGUGAUGUCCCGCCUCGGGCGUCAUGCGGCGGAGCUGCCCUUCACACGCGGCGUUGAAGUCUGGGUCUUGCGCAACGGAAAUCCGUGAACCGUGUCAGGGCAGGAAUGCAGCAGCACUAAGCGGAAGCUUUCGUGUGCCGUGAGACAGCCUGGGCCGAGCAGGCGAUGGAGGUAACGUCCGAAACAUGCGUCC